UGGGAACGUGCCCAAAGGUACGGAACAACUCCGGGAAACUGGAGCUAAUACCGUAUGUGCCCGAAAGGGGAAAGAUUCAUCGCCUUUGGAUCGGCCCGCGUCUGAUUAGCUAGUUGGCGGGGUAAUGGCCCACAAGGCGACGAUCAGUAGCUGGUCUGAGAGGAUGACCAGCCACACUGGGACUGAGACACGGCCCAGACUCCUACGGGAGGCAG
rnacentral:rRNA from 1 species